GAGUUUGAUCGUGGCUCAGAGCGAACGCUGGCGGCGUGCCUAACACAUGCAAGUCGAACGUGAAAGAGGGGCAACUCUCGAGUAAAGUGGCGUACGGGUGAGUAACGCGUGGUAAUCUACCCGAGAGUCUGGAAUAACCUGCCGAAAGGCGGGCUAAUACUGGAUAGAGCGAAGAAUCCGUAAUUGGGUUUUUCGGGAAAGGGAGCUCGCAAGAGCCCUCGCUUUCGGAUGAGCCUGCGUCCCAUUAGGUAGUUGGUGGGGUAAAAGCCUACCAAGCCUGUGAUGGGUAGCUGGUCUGAGAGGAUGAUCAGCCACACUGGAACUGAAACACGGUCCAGACUCCUACGGGAGGCAGCAGUGGGGAAUCUUGCGCAAUGGACGAAAGUCUGACGCAGCCACGCCGCGUGAGUGAAGAAGGCCUUCGGUUGU
rnacentral:rRNA from 1 species